rfam:Mesorhizobium sp. TASWS1009 40, whole genome shotgun sequence.
AUUAUGGGGAUUGCGAUCUCCCCACGAGGCUACGGCCCAAGAAUCGCGUCCAGAAACCCGGUAAACGGAAGGACGCGUCAUG